CUGGGAUAGAACGUUUUAUCGCCAAAGUUAGAGCUGAUUUCGACGACAAGCUACUGAACCUAGAAAUACACCACCGAAAACAAAAUUUGUUGUUCUACGGCAUCCCCAAACAAAUCAAUGAGGAUAUUUACAAGACCACAUCUUUUGCAUUGGGCAAGUUACUGGAAAUUCCCGUUGAGGAGGCAGACCAAAUUCAAAUCAUCAAUGCUCAUCGUCUACCUACGAAGAGGACCCACAACGGAGCCAGCGGAACCCCGGCCCCCGAAGCUCCUGAUCCCAUCAUAGUCCGUUUUGCAAAGAUGUACGACCGGGACCGAAUUCUUCGCGCCUUCGAGCAGCCAAGGCAACCCCGGGCUACUGACGGCAACCGUAGGGAUGGCGACCGCGUAACCGUCCGAACUGACCUACCCCCAUCUAUGAAACGCGAGCGUGGUCAUCUAGCAUCAGUUGCAUAUAACAUUCGCAAAACCAAGCAAUUGAAAACCAGGAUAAGGAUUCAAGGAACCAAAGUACUGCUGCAGACUAAAAACCCUAAUGCACCUUCUUCACAGUGGUCAACUUGGACUGAGUAGAUUUACUUAUCACAUGCAACAUCAUGACUAUGGAAUUUUGAAUAUCAUUGGAGACCGAGUCAAAUUCAAUCCCCAUAACUUUGCAAGGACGAAUGGAGUAGGCCUGAUCCAUCUUCUAUACAGAUAAAGAUUUUGUGCUUAGUCCAGAAAGCCAUAGUAGGUUAUGUAGACUGGUAGUUUACAGUUACAUAUAAGAUUUUGUGCUUAGUCCAGAAAGCCAUAGUAGGUUAUGUAGACUGAUACUUUACAGCUACAUAUUAGAUUUUGUGCAUAGCUCUAAUAGCCAUAGUAAGUUAUGGGACUGGUACAUGUACAUUUAGAGGUAAGCAACAUUGACAAAUUCAUGUAUGUUCCUCUGUCAUGUCAUGUAUGCCCUUUUUAUUUCAUUUUAUUUAUUUUUUCCACCAAUAUCAUUAUCUAAAUGGUAACGUUAUUUGUAACUGUUAUUACUCAUUACAAUGCUUGAUUAAGUUUUUAUUAUUUUAUUUUCUUUUUAAUUCUUAUCUUAUUUCAACACCCUUUUAUUGACCAUUUCUCGCUAUGCUAAUCAUAUCCUGCCUGGUAUCACAAAUUUGAUAUUGCUACCUUAUUAUUUUGUCCUAAUUAACAUAAUGAAUUUGUUCACACCAUGCUUACAUUCUUUUAUUUUAGUAUUUAGCAUCAUAUUAUUGAACGUUCAAAUAUCAUUGCCUCAAACGGAUGAAUAUCUUCAUGCAUCUAUUAUUCAUCUAUCUGUAAUAUCUAGUGAUCUACUCUAGUUAUUUACAUAAGUUCCUCUUCGUGUGGCCGAAACCUAGCUUGGUAUCAUUGCAUAUAUUUUUCACCUUCUCUUGAAAGUUGAUUCUAUCAUGC